rnacentral:rRNA from 1 species
CCUACGGGUGGCAGCAGUGGGGAAUAUUGGACAAUGGGCGAAAGCCUGAUCCAGCCAUGCCGCGUGUGUGAAGAAGGCCUUCGGGUUGUAAAGCACUUUCAGUGGGGAAGAAAGCCUUGGGGCUAAUACCCUCGAGGAAGGACAUCACCCACAGAAGAAGCACCGGCUAACUCCGUGCCAGCAGCCGCGGUAAUACGGAGGGUGCGAGCGUUAAUCGGAAUUACUGGGCGUAAAGCGCGCGUAGGCGGUCUGAUAAGCCGGUUGUGAAAGCCCCGGGCUCAACCUGGGAACGGCAUCCGGAACUGUCAGGCUAGAGUGCAGGAGAGGAAGGUAGAAUUCCCGGUGUAGAGGUGAAAUGCGUAGAGAUCGGGAGGAAUACCAGUGGCGAAGGCGGCCUUCUGGACUGACACUGACGCUGAGGUGCGAAAGCGUGGGUAGCAAACAGGAUUAGAUACCCGAGUAGUC